CUUAUCAGAUGCUGUCCAACUUCUAGGAACGUCUGCCUCCGGUCCUGGACAUUAAUCUUUUUUUUUUUUUUUAACAAAUGACGGGUUCUUUCGAUCAGCUGAUCUACUCCAUCCUCCAUCCAGCAAGAAAGCGAGGACAAUAGCAUCAGAGGCAGGGCGUUGAGGUUGAAGUGGGACCAGUCAGUGACUCAGACUUUUCGUCUGUCUCCUCCCCUUCAGGGACACGCCGUGUCCGCCAUUAACCACUGGGUGACUCCAGAUGCAGAAAGUCCGAAGCACUUGAAUGAGAAAGUGGAGGCUGAUCAGACCUGAGGCUUUUGCCGAGGUGUCGCUAACCACCCAGGUUCAACAAGCUCUGACUGCACACGAAAUUAAAAAAAGACUUUGGAGAGUUAGC